AACGAACGCUGGCGGCAUGCCUAACACAUGCAAGUCGAACGAUACCUUCGGGUCUAGUUGCGCACGUGUGCGUAACGCGUGGUAACCUGCCUUUAGGUUCGGAAUCCCUCAGAUAAAUUUGAGCUAAUACCGGAUGAUGUCUUCGCACCAAAGAUUUAUCGCCUUUAGAUGGGCCCGCGUUUGAUUCGCUGGUUGGUGGUGUAAAGGCCUACCAAGGAGACGAUCCAUAGCUGGUCUGAGAGGAUGAUCAGCCACACUGGGAAUGAGACACGGCCUAGAAUCGUACGGGAGGGAGCAGUGGGGAAUAUUAGACAAUGGGCGAAAGAGUGAUAAAGCAAUGCGGCGGGAGAGAUGAAGGCCUUAGGGUUGUAAAGCUGUUUUACACGAGACGAGAAUGACAGUAGCGGGAGAAUAAGCUCCGGCUAACUACGUG
rnacentral:rRNA from 1 species